UAUAAAAGCUUCCUGAUGAAUGUGUUUCUGCCAGAGUCUGAACACAGAUCUCAGAUCAGCACAAACAGCAGCUCAUCCUCAUCAUCAUCACCAUCAUCACAUCAUGAUGAAGAUUCUGGCUCUCGCUCUGCUGGUGGCGGCUCUUCAGACUCUAGCGGUUGAUCCGCAAACCCCAGCACCUACAGGUACUAGAGUCACAACAGUUCCUACAUCUACUACAGCUGCUAUAUUGACCAGCAAAUCCACACACAGCUCCAGCAUUGGACUGUCAGUCCUGAUGGCUCCGUUCCUGCUUUCGGUCUCCAUGUUUCCGUGGUGGCCCUGUAUAUAAUGGUUUUCAUCUUUAUUGGAUAGCACAGAGAGUAUUCACAGGAGAGCAGAGAGAGGGGAAGGAUCGGCAUAGGGCAAUGCGGUGGAAUUGAACUCGAGUUGCCGUGAGCACCAGAGUGCAUGUGUCGACGCACUUACCACUACACCACUGGCACUGACUGAUUCUGAAAUGUUAAUCUGAAAACAUUGAUUAUUUACUCCCCUGUGCUUUACAAUCUGAUUCAUAUGUUAUGUACUGUAACUACUGUAUAUGCAUGAAUAUACAAGCACCAUCAUGAUAGUUAAUGAUUAACUGCUGGAAUUAAUAUUAGACAUUACAGUUGUUCUCAGUGGCUUUGGUUCAUUUCUCACAACACUAUUUACACAACAGUUCAUGCAUUUCUCCACACAGUUAGUCAUCUGUGCACAUCACAGCAGCAGUUUCUCAUUCCUUCCAACACAUUGCGAAUGCUUUUGUAAAUGCAUCAUCUGAUUUCAGACAACUCUCUGCUGUUUAUCACAUCAUCAUCUGCUCAUGUCAUGUCAGUCAAAAUUAAUUAAGCUUUAAAUGCUGAAUAGUCACUCCGUCAGUGUGUUGUACUCAGACACCUCUCUAAAUGCUGUGAUGUCUAACUUUACUGUAGUCUUCAGAUGGCUGUGCUAAUAGUAUACAGUGCUGUCUUGAUCAUUUUCAGGACCAAAAUAUGACUUUAUUUGCAUUGGAAAAAUGAACACAGUAAAGUGUCAUAAUGAAAACAGGACGAAGCCAUCUGAUUAUCUCGUUCAUAAGUACUGGUGUCAGGACUCUUCAUCUUGAUCACACUGACACUUUCAUUGACAUCAAUACUUGCUCUUGAGGAAUGAGCUCUCCAUGUUGAGCAAGAGACACGCUUCUGCAGGUUAUCAGCUGGGUUUUGCAGUUUGUACUAAUAGUUUAGAGAAAUGCAUGAAUGUAAAUAGUGAUGUGAGAAAUGCACCAAAGCCACUGAGAACAACUGUAAAACUACUGUUAAUGAUAAAAAUAAAAGGCAUUUUCAUACAAAUCUGGACUUGAUGCGGAUUCUCAAAUAAUAAUCUGAAAAUCUGAAUUAUUUACUUCUGUGUGUUCACAAGCUGAUCAUAGAGGAUUCACACAUUAUGUACUGUUUCUAUAAGAUUGAAUAAACUAGCAUGAGGAGGAUUUAUGAAGAAACUCUACUGGUGUUAGAGUAAAUGAGCUUUGCUUAGUGACUGAUACAGCUGAGAAUAUAUCAGUUCCCCAUUAAAGAUGGAUUGAAAUCUGUUAAUGUUUCAAUAAAGCACAAUAUUUCUCUGUU